rnacentral:rRNA from 1 species
UGGGGAAUAUUGCACAAUGGGCGCAAGCCUGAUGCAGCCAUGCCGCGUGUAUGAAGAAGGCCUUCGGGUUGUAAAGUACUUUCAGCGGGGAGGAAGGCAGUAAAGUUAAUACCUUUGCUCAUUGACGUUACCCGCAGAAGAAGCACCGGCUAACUCCGUGCCAGCAGCCGCGGUAAUACGGAGGGUGCAAGCGUUAAUCGGAAUUACUGGGCGUAAAGCGCACGCAGGCGGUUUGUUAAGUCAGAUGUGAAAUCCCCGGGCUCAACCUGGGAACUGCAUCUGAUACUGGCAAGCUUGAGUCUCGUAGAGGGGGGUAGAAUUCCAGGUGUAGCGGUGAAAUGCGUAGAGAUCUGGAGGAAUACCGGUGGCGAAGGCGGCCCCCUGGACGAAGACUGACGCUCAGGUGCGAAAGCGUGGGGAGCAAACAGG